rnacentral:rRNA from 1 species
GACGAACGCUGGCGGCGUGCUUAACACAUGCAAGUCGAACGGAAAGGCCCUGCUUUUGUGGGGUGCUCGAGUGGCGAACGGGUGAGUAACACGUGAGUAACCUGCCCUUGACUUUGGGAUAACUUCCGGAAACUGGGGCUAAUACCGGAUAGGAGCUCCUGCUGCAUGGUGGGGGUUGGAAAGUUUCGGCGGUUGGGGAUGGACUCGCGGCUUAUCAGCUUGUUGGUGGGGUAGUGGCUUACCAAGGCUUUGACGGGUAGCCGGCCUGAGAGGGUGACCGGCCACAUUGGGACUGCGAUACGGCCCAGACUCCUACGGGAGGCAGCAGUGGGGAAUAUUGCACAAUGGGCGGAAGCCUGAUGCAGCAACGCCGCGUGCGGGAUGACGGCCUUCGGGUUGUAAACCGCUUUCGCCUGUGACGAAGCGUGAGUGACGGUAAUGGGUAAAGAAGCACCGGCUAACUACGUG